CACACAUGUACAAGUACAUCCUUGGGAUCAUCAAUGAGAACCACCACUGGAAACUCACUGUCAUGAUCCCAUCACAAAAAAAGGCUCUCUUACUCGAUCCUCUUGGGGAAUCCAGUACCGACAUAAAUAGGUGCAAAGAUGUAACAAGAGCCUUCAUGAGACUUAGGGGGAUCAAUGUGUCCAGAUGGGGAUGCGACACAGUCCCACACCCUCGUCAGACUGACAGUACCUCCUGCGGGCCCUUUGUAUUGAAAUUUGCUGAAUGUAUCCUUAAAGGUGAAAACUGCAAAUUCAAUACAUCAAGAAAAGGUGUAGGGGAAAUGCGAAGGGCAAUCGCAACUGCUCUCCUUGAGAAUACUGGUAACUAUUUCCCCCAUGAAAAUAUGUAGUUAUAAUUCUCUUUUUAGGGCUACUUUGCAAAGACAAUGUAAUAUAGAGCAACUGUUACAGUUAAUUUAGGUCAUUAUGAGGAACAUAAUGACCUAAAGUCAUGAUCUUUUAUUAGA